rnacentral:rRNA from 1 species
GACGAACGCUGGCGGCGUGCCUAACACAUGCAAGUCGAACGAAGUAUGUUUUUCGGAAUGUACUUAGUGGCGGACGGGUGAGUAACGCGUGAAUAAUCUGCCCCAUACAGGGGGAUAGCCUCGGGAAACCGGGAUUAAAACCGCAUGAUGCUUUUUUAUCGCAUGGUAGAGAAGUCAAAUCGAAUAAGAGGUAUGGGAUGAGUUCGCGUCUGAUUAGCUGGUUGGCGGGGUAAGAGCCCACCAAGGCGACGAUCAGUAGCCGGCCUGAGAGGGUGACCGGCCACACUGGAACUGAGACACGGUCCAGACUCCUACGGGAGGCAGCAGUGGGGAAUAUUGCACAAUGGAGGGAACUCUGAUGCAGCGACGCCGCGUGAGUGAAGAAGGUCUUCGGAUCGUAAAACUCUGUCCUUGGUGACGAGGAAAAUGACGGUAGCCAAGGAGGAAGCCCCGGCUAACUACGUGCCAGCAGCCGCGGUAC